rnacentral:rRNA from 1 species
AUUGAACGCUGGCGGCAGGCUUAACACAUGCAAGUCGAGCGAGCGGCGGAAGGGUGAGUAAUGACUGGGAACCUGCCUGAUGGAGGGGGAUAACUACUGGCAACUGUAGCUGCUAACACUUACCAACCGAUGUGCCGAGAUGGGAUUAGCUAGUAGGUGGGGUAAGGGCUCACCUAGGCGACGAUCCCUAGCUGGUCUGAGAGGAUGACCAGCCACACUGUAACUGAGACACGGUCCAGACUCCUACGGGAGGCAGCAGUGGGGAAGAUUGCACAAUGGGCGCAAGCCUGAUGCAGCGAUGCCGCGUGUGUGAAGAAGGCCUUCGGGUGGUAAAGCACUUUCAGCGAGGAGGCGUUACUCGCAGAAGAAGCACCGGCUAACUCCGUGCCAGCAGCCGCGGUAAUAC